GUAUCUGAAGUCUGACGAGGAUGAGAACCUCCGGGGGCAAGAGGUUCGACCCGAGCGAAGCGAGAGAACGUUGCGCCAGUAACGGCCCGCAGUGGCAAGUCAUCCUCUGUCACCGGCAG
rnacentral:sRNA from 1 species